rnacentral:tRNA from 1 species
GUUCUUAUAGUUUAAAGCAAAACAAUGAUUUUGUAUAUCAUAAAUAUUAAUAUUUAGAAC